ensembl:rRNA 5S_rRNA 5S ribosomal RNA
GCUUACGGCCAUACCACCCUGAGCACGCCUGAUCUCGUCUGAUCUCGGAAGCUAAGCAGUGUCGGGCCUAGUUAGUACUUGGAUGGGAGACCGCCUGGGAAUACCAGGUGCCGUAAGCU